rnacentral:sRNA from 1 species
AAUUCCAAAUAUAUUCUAUGUGGUGGAAGG